CUAUCCAUGGAUGUGCUACUCAAGUAGAGAGUAAAGAUAAGCUCAAUUCAAGAAGCCUAAAGUCACUUCUCAGAAUGGCUACCACCACUCAGCCAUUACUAAACACACAAACCUCUCACAACAGAAGUCUCUGUCUGAUUCUCUCCUUGAUUGCAAUCAUCUUCUCAUUUGCCAUGAUCACAGACCACUUGAUCAAGGCCAGUGAUUUCGCUAAUGCCCCUCUUGCGCGUGUCUGCAGCAAGGCCAAAGAUCAGGCUCAAUGCCGAGCCCUGGUUUCAGAAAUCGUCCCCUAUACGGCGCGGCAUCGUUCUUCAUGAGCGACGAGAAGUUGCUCCAAGUGUUCAUAAAAAAGAUGGCUAUCCGCACAGGAAAUGCUGUAGAGGCCGUGAAGGAUGUUCGCCGCCGGGUGAAUGAUCCUAGAGAAGAAGCGGCUUUGGCUGAUUGCGUGGAGUUGAUGGAAAUGUCUGUGGAUAGAUUGGAAGACUCCACAAGGAGUCUUCAAGAACAGAAGUCAUCUGCAGAUGUCCAUACAUGGCUGAGCAGUUCACUCACAAAUUACAUCACCUGCUUGGACGGUUUCGAAGGCUCGUCAUCAGCUAAAUCUUUGAUUGAGCCUAUUCUCAGUGACUUGAUUUCGAGGGCAAGAACUUCUCUAGCCAUGUUUGUUUCUACUUCAUCUCCUGAAGGACGAAGACCAGAUGUUUGGAGUCCUUCAUCCGUGAUUUCCCAUCAUGGGUCACACGAAAAGAUCAUCGUCUCCUGCAAUCUCUGAUGAACGCUGUUAAUGCUGACGUGGUGGUGGCGAAAGACGGAACUGGGAAGUUCAAGACAGUGAAAGAGGCGAUCGCAGCUGCUCCUAGCAAAGCCCAGACCCGGUACGUUAUUUAUGUGAAGAAAGGCACAUACAAGGAGAAUGUGGAGGUGGCAAAGACAAAGACAAACAUCAUGCUUGUUGGCGACGGCAUGGAUUCAACUGUGAUCACUGGCAGCCUCAACGUCAUUGAUGGUGCGACGACAUUCAAUUCCGCGACUGUUGCUGUGAAUGGCGAUGGGUUCAUAGCCCAGGACAUAUGGUUCCAGAACACUGCCGGGCCGCAGAAACACCAGGCCGUCGCACUCCGUGUCAGCGCAGACAAGUCGGUCAUCAACCGGUGCCGCAUUGAUGCAUACCAAGACACCCUCUACACUCACACCAGCCGCCAGUUCUACCGAGACUCAUACAUCACGGGCACGGUGGACUUCAUUUUCGGCGAUGCGGGCGUUGUGUUCCAGAACUGUAAUCUCGUGGCACGGAAGCCCAUGAGUGGCCAGUCCAACAUGGUGACGGCCCAGGGCCGGACUGACCGAAAUCAGAACACCGGGAUCUCGAUCCAGAGCUGCAACAUGACCGCAAGCUCUGAUCUCGUGCCCGUCAAGGGCUCGAUCAAGUCGUAUCUGGGCCGGCCUUGGAAGGAGUACUCCAGGACUGUGGUGAUGCAAUCAAACAUCGGUGAUCACAUUGAUCCCACAGGAUGGUCAGUGUGGAGUGGAGAUUUCGCCCUCAAGACUCUGUACUACGGGGAGUACAUGAACAAGGGACCGGGUGCAGGAACAAGCAAGCGGGUGAACUGGCCGGGUUAUCAUGUUAUCACCAGCGCAACGGAGGCGAAGAAGUUCACAGUGGCCGAGCUGAUUCAGGGAGGGACUUGGUUGAAGUCCUCUGGAGUGUCUUACACUGAAGGGUUAUGAAAAAUGAGUUUUGGUCCUUUCCUUAGGGCGGAGUUUCUGUAAGUCGUGUAGUGAAUCAAUAAUUUGGAAUGUUUGGAGAUCUCAUUGUACUGUAUGGUUCAUCAAACAUGUUUUAACUUCAUGAAAACUGCAUCGUAUCCAAGUUAGUUCCAUCUGUCUGUCAUUGUCCAUGUAAGCCGCUACAUGGAAUUUUAACAGCAGUCUUAAACAAAA